rnacentral:rRNA from 1 species
ACCCCUUGAGAGUGGCGAACGGGUGAGUAAUAUAUCGGAACGUGCCCAGUCGUGGGGGAUAACGUAGCGAAAGUUACGCUAAUACCGCAUACGAUCUACGGAUGAAAGCGGGGGAUCGCAAGACCUCGCGCGAUUGGAGCGGCCGAUAUCAGAUUAGGUAGUUGGUGGGGUAAAGGCUCACCAAGCCAACGAUCUGUAGCUGGUCUGAGAGGACGACCAGCCACACUGGAACUGAGACACGGUCCAGACUCCUACGGGAGGCAGCAGUGGGGAAUUUUGGACAAUGGACGCAAGUCUGAUCCAGCCAUUCCGCGUGCAGGAUGAAGGCCCUCGGGUUGUAAACUGCUUUUGUACGGAACGAAAAGGUUUCUCUUAAUACGAGGAGCUCAUGACGGUACCGUAAGAAUAAGCACCGGCUAACUACGUGCCAGCAGCCGCGGUAAUACGUAGGGUGCAAGCGUUAAUCGGAAUUACUGGGCGUAAAGCGUGCGCAGGCGGUUAUGUAAGACAGAGGUGAAAUCCCCGGGCUCAACCUGGGAACUGCCUUUGUGACUGCAUAGCUAGAGUACGGUAGAGGGGGAUGGAAUUCCGCGUGUAGCAGUGAAAUGCGUAGAUAUGCGGAGGAACACCGAUGGCGAAGGCAAUCCCCUGGACCUGUACUGACGCUCAUGCACGAAAGCGUGGGGAGCAAACAGGAUUA